AACGAACGCUGGCGGCAUGCCUAACACAUGCAAGUCGAACGGGACCUUCGGGUCUAUGGGCGCACGGGUGCGUGCCACGUGGGAAGCUGCCCUUAGGUUCGGAAUCACUCCCCGAAGGAGGUCCUCAUACCGGUUAAUGUCAUCGGACCAACGAUUUAUCGCCAUUGGAUGGGCCCGCGUUGGAUUCGCUAGUUGGUAGGGUAAACGCCUACCAAGGCGACGUUCCAUAGCUGGUCUGAGAGGAUGACCAGCCACGCUGGGCAUGAGACACGGCCCAGAACCCGACGCGAGGCAGCAGUGGGGAAUAUUGGACAAUGGGCGAAAGUCUGAUCAAGCCAUGCCGGGGGAGUGAGGAAGGCCUUAGUGUUGUAAAGCUCUUUUAGACGGGAUGAUAAUGACAGUACCGGGAGAAUAAGCGCCGGCUAACUCCGUG
rnacentral:rRNA from 1 species